UUUUUCAGUAGUGUUUUGCUGCAGUGACAUCUCGGUGCUGGCGACUCGCUGCUGGCGAUGACUCGCUGCUGGCGAAUCGAUCUGCGCAUGUGUAUAAAAUGGUAUUUACUUCCGAAAACAUGCCUGCUGCACGCGCUCACUUUUCUCUGACUGAAACUCAGUUCCUGGCAAGUUGCGGAGCUCAUGUAAUUAAGGCAGCCUCCACAUCCAAUUCUUUAUUUGUACUCCAUGAAAUAGAGACAGAAUAUAUGAAGAACUUUGACUAGUAUCGAAUAGCCUUGCUUGAAGCUGUUGCAGCAUCCAAAAGAAAAUCUACAGCUACCUUCCUGUUUGGUAACAAAUCCAUGCUGCGUUCAUAACAAAAUGGAAGACUUGCAAGUCAUAACGGCCGUAUUCGACUGGUCGUUCUUCAUUAAACCACGCCCACUUGAGCAGUGGUAAUAUCCUACUUAACGAAGAAGACCUUUCGAAUAGAAAACUGGUAAAUACUCAACAAAACAAAAAGGCUACAUAGUUACCCCAAUGAUACAUCAUGCAUAAUCAAGGUUUAAAAAAAAAAAUGUUUUCAUCCAGUUUUUAAAUUCAGUUAGCCUAUAAUUAUUUUUUGACUUCAUGUGCGUAAAUGUUAAAAUUUGUAAUUUCUAAAAUUUAAUCUAAAUUAUAUUAAUGCAGAGUUGUUGCUAAACCAAUUGGCCAUGUUUGUUUUGGUCACGCGAAUAAUGCUAAUUAACGCACACUGGUUUACAUUAAUUUUAUAUCUAUUUUACAAACCAGUAGAAUGGAAAUAAUACUCAACGAAAAAUUGUAGUCAACAAAAUGAACUAGUCAAAUAAGCCCAUUAACAAUUUAUGCAGGUGUUGUGUAUGCUAUCAAAAACCAGGUUCAAUAGCAAUGGAAUUGCUGCAGAGGAGGAUGAGGGGUGACAACAUAACACUAUACUCUCUAGCAGUCAGGGCCCAGCCAGAGGGGUGUUGAGGGGUUUUAACACCCUCUAAAAUUAAUUGAAAUAAACAAAAAAUCCCGAUAAUGUAGUAGUAAAGGUAAAAUAUAGGCCUUUAUGUAUGAUUUAUGUAUUGAUUUAUUAUGAUUUACAGAGGAUCCCGGAGGUACUGUCCAACCAGGGCCCCCCCUCCCCCUUAGAGUAAACCAGAA
rnacentral:lncRNA from 1 species